rnacentral:rRNA from 1 species
AAUCAACGCUGGCGGCGUGCCUCAGACAUGCAAGUCGAACGCGAAAGUCCCCUUCGGGGGACGAAGUAGAGUGGCGCACGGGUGAGUAACACGUAGGUAAUCUACCUUCGGAUGGGGAAGUAACAAUCGGAAACGGUUGCUAAUACCGCAUAAUGCAGCGGCACCUAAUAGGUGACAGUUGUUAAAGCGGGGGAGUCGAAAGACCUCGCGUCUGAAGAGGAGCCUGCGGCGGAUUAGCUAGUUGGUAAGGUAAUGGCUUACCAAGGCGACGAUCCGUAACCGGCCUGAGAGGGGCGGUCGGUCACACUGACACUGACAUACGGGUCAGACUCCUACGGGAGGCAGCAGUCGGGAAUUUUGGGCAAUGGGCGAAAGCCUGACCCAGCAACG